rnacentral:rRNA from 1 species
ACAGCCGCAGUAUUCUAACUGUGCUAAGGUAGCAUAAUAAUUUGUCUUAUAAUUGAAGACUGGAAUGAAAGAACUGAUAAUACUAAGUCUUUUUGAAUUAAAUUUUAGAAAUUGAUAUUUACCUCAAAAAGUGUAACUUUUUAAAAAGACAAUAAGACCCUAUAAAACUUUAUUAAUAUUUUAAAUUUAAAUUUAGAAUGAAUUAGCUUUAAAAAUUAAUUAAGCUGGGGCGGCAUCUAAUUUUGAAACUCAUUAAGUAGAUUUAACAAUUCUAAAUGAUUUUAAAGAUCUCUUUAAGAGAUAGAAUAAGUUACUUUAGGGAUAACAGCACAAUUUUUUCAUACAGACCUUAUGGAAGAAAAAGACUUGUGACCUCGAUGUUGAAUUGAGAUGCCAAAUUUAAGCAAAAAUAAAUUUAGGGGGUCUGUUCGACCUUUAAUUUCUCA